GAUGAAGAACGUAGCGAAAUGCGAUAAGUAAUGCGAAUUGCAGAAUUCAGUGAGUCAUCGAAUCUUUGAACGCACAUUGCGCCCUGUGGUAUUCCGCAGGGCAUGCCUGUUCGAGCGUCAUUUCAACCCUCAAGCCCCGCUUGGUGUUGGGCCCCGCCCGCUGUGGCCGGCCCUAAAGACAGUGGCGGCGCCGCCUGGCCCUCAGCGUAGUACAUCUCUCGCUCCAGGGUCCGGUGGCCGCCUGCCAGAACCCCCCAACUCUGUGGUUGACCUCGGAUCAGGUAGGGAUACCCGCUGAACUUAAGCAUAUCAAUAAGCGGAGG
rnacentral:misc_RNA from 1 species